rnacentral:sRNA from 1 species
UUGGCUACCGGAUCGACUUCUCGGGUCACUACCAAGUAUUCGCGCAAUGCGAUGGCAUGCAGAUGCUC